rnacentral:misc_RNA from 1 species
AAUGAAGCCGGGAAACCGGUCCUUCUAACCCUUGAUUAUCUUAAUUUGUUGCUUUGGUGGGCCGCGCAAGCACCGGCUUCGGCUGGAUUGUGCCCGCCAGAGGACCACAACUCUGUAUCAAAUGUCGUCUGAGUACUAUAAAAUAGUUAAAACUUUCAACAACGGAUCUCUUGGUUCU